UCAGUAACACGUAGUCAACCCUAACCUGUGGACGUGGAUAAUCUCGGGAAACUGAGGAUAAACCACGAUAGAUAACGGUGCCUGGAAUGGCCCAUUGUCCAAACAGUUUACUGCCACGGGAUGGGACUGCGGCUAUCAGCUUGUUGGUGAGGUAAUGGCCCACCAAGGCUAUAACAGGUACGGGCUCUGAGAGGAGAAGCCCGGAGAUGGGUACUGAGACACGGACCCAGGCCCUAUGGGGCGCAGCAGGCGAGAAACCUUAGCAAUGUGCGAAAGCACGACUGGGUCAGUCCGAGUGAUUUCUGAUAAAGGAAUCUUUUGCUAGUCCUAAAAGCACUAGCGAAUAAGGGGUGGGCAAGUCUGGUGCCA
rnacentral:rRNA from 1 species